AACGAACGCUGGCGGCAGGCCUAACACACGCAAGUCGAACGCUCCGCAAGGAGAGUGGCAGACGGGUGAGUAACACGUGGGAAUCUUCCUAUCGGUACGGAAUAGCUCAGGGAAACUUGAGGUAAUACCGCAUACGCCCUUCGGGGGAAAGAUUUAUCGCCGAUAGAUGAGCCCGCGUCUGAUUAGCUAGUUGGUGGGGUAAUGGCCUACCAAGGCGACGAUCAGUAGCUGGUCUGAGAGGAUGACCAGCCACACUGGGACUGAGACACGGCCCAGACUCCUACGGGAGGCAGCAGUGGGGAAUAUUGGACAAUGGGCGCAAGCCUGAUCCAGCCAUGCCGCGUGAGUGACGAAGGUCUUCGGAUUGUAAAGCUCUUUUGCCAGGGACGAUAAUGACGGUACCUGGAGAAUAAGCCCCGGCUAACUUCGUGCCAGCCGCCGCAGUAAGAC
rnacentral:rRNA from 1 species